UUCAACAGGAAGUAGCUGCACUUAGCACAAGUUAGAAGGGUAGAACGAUUUAAGUUUUAGGUAGCCACAGCAGCUUUAAGAAACCAGCGAAACAUGCUAAUGGUGUGCACCGUUUUGAGGUCCAGUUUGUCGAACAUAAACAAGUCUACUGCUGCUAGCACUUUACCAAAAAAAUGACUUGUGUGGCUAACACUUAUGCUAAAAAUAUUAGCAUUACCUGAUUUGAUUCGACGGUGGUCGCACUGCCACUUGGAAAGUGGAACAAUUCUCAAUUUCUGCACACAGUACAAGAAAACGGAGGAACAAAUCCCACAAUGCAGUUCGGCAACAUGAGACACUCAAAGUGAUCGAGCAGAUAUACACACAAUCCUGGAGGAGGAAGUGGAGUGCACCAGUGGCCGGCUUUUACUGAAGGGCUUCAGGAUGCAACUCUAAUGGCCACCAAGAUUUCGACUCUCUCCACUCGUCCAGUCGAUCACGAUAAAUGUCAGGCUCAUGGUCAUGAAUAUGAACCCCAGGGCUGUGAAACACGCCGCCUGAAACCCAAAGGUGUUAUUGUACAACGAUCACUACCACACUUCUACUUGUACUUCACAUCCAUUGCCUUUAUUUUACCCACCUGAAUCUUUGGUCUGGACUUCAUGGGCUCCUGGUCAGUGGGGAUGAUGCGAAUGUAAAACAGUCCAGGAAGGAUGAAUAUCAAACUGGGAGCAGUGGUUGCUCCUGGAAACACAGAAGAAACACAUUCUCAUUGCAUUGUAAAACCCAAUUUUCAGUUUUAAAGGUCCAGUGUGCAUGUGUGAAGGUGGGCUUCCCUUGGUGCCUGGGCCUGGUUGGCCUGCUCAGUAAUCCGUGUCGCUAAUUCUUACACACUGGACCUUGAAAUAAUCAAAAAACUCAUCUACUAACAGGGUUUAAUUGGAGCUUUGCUUCUAAGUCUAUCGUCUCACCAAUGAUGCCAAAGAUGUCACGAAUGUUCGGAACAAAGAUGACCAGCAGGUUGACAGCAAACAGCAGGACCACUGCUAUGGCAAUGUGACGGAGCCAGUGGAAGGGCUUCUCAGGAAACAGCAGCUGCAGGAGGGCACGGCGGAUCUGACAGAGACACGGGCAUAAACAAGGCUCCAUAAUAGUAUUGACAUAGUACAGGAAUUAUCAGCUCAAUAAAACCUGGAACUUUC